CGCCCACAGUAACCAGCCCACUACCGUGGAUUCCUGGCCGUGUGUGGAGACGGCUCUGCAGUGCCGGACAUCUCCCCUCCCCAGAUGCCAAGGACACUGUUCUUUAUCCUGGGAGAAGGAAAUGGCAAUCCAAUCCAGCACUAUUGCCUGGAAAAUCCCAUAGACAGAGGAGCCUGGUAGGCUACAGUCUAUGGGGUCACAAAGAGUCAGACAUGACUGAGCGACUUCAUUUUCAUAACAUAUAGGGUAAGUACCAUUCUCACCCCAAAUAAACUUUGCCAUCACUGAACUAAGCUUUUUAAGAGUCUUAACUCAUUUAAUGGGUACAGUGACCUCC
rnacentral:lncRNA from 1 species